AUUGAACGCUGGCGGCAUGCUUUACACAUGCAAGUCGAACGGCAGCGCGGGCUUCGGCCUGGCGGCGAGUGGCGAACGGGUGAGUAAUACAUCGGAACGUGCCCAGCUGUGGGGGAUAGCUCGGCGAAAGCCGGAUUAAUACCGCAUACGACCUGAGGGUGAAAGCGGGGGAUCUUCGGACCUCGCGCUAUUGGAGCGGCCGAUGGCAGAUUAGCUAGUUGGUGGGGUAAAGGCCUACCAAGGCGACGAUCGGUAGCUGGUCGGAGAGGACGACCAGCCACAUGGGAACGGAGACGCGGCCCAGGCUCCUACGGGAGGGAGGAGUGGGGAAUUUUGGACAAGGGGGGAAAGCUUGAUACAGAAAUCCGGCGUGUGUGAAAAAGGCCUGGGGUUUGUAAAGACCUUUUGCGGGGAAAGAAAAGCAGUAGCCAAAUACCCCGUUGGUAUGACGGUACCCAAAGAAUAAGCACGGGCUAACUUCGUG
rnacentral:rRNA from 1 species